rnacentral:rRNA from 1 species
GACGAACGCUGGCGGCGUGCUUAACACAUGCAAGUCGAACGAUGAAGAAGAGAAACGCGAACUUCGGUUCAAAUUUCACUUCGGAUUAGUGGCAGACGGGUGAGUAACGCGUGAGCAACCUACCUCUUACAAAGGGAUAGCCUCGGGAAACCGUGAUUAAUACCAUAUGACACAUUCAUAAGGCAUCUUAAGAAUGUUAAAGCUACGGCGGUAAGAGAUGGACUCGCGUCCCAUUAGCUAGUUGGUGAGGUAACGGCCCACCAAGGCGACGAUGGGUAACCGGCCUGAGAGGGUGAACGGUCACAGUGGAACUGAGACACGGUCCAAACUCCGACGGGAGGCAGCAGUGGGGAAUAUUGCACAAUGGAGGGAACUCUGAUGCAGCGACGCCGCGUGAGCGAUGAAGGAAUUCGUUUCGUAAAGCUCUGUUCUAUGGGAAGAAAAGGACUGUACCAUAGGAGAAAGCCCCGGCUAAAUACGUG